rnacentral:lncRNA from 1 species
AUCCUAGGUAUUAAAAUGCCUAGCAUGGUCAUUCUUUUUUACCACUGAUCAGCUCGUCAUUUGUAUCACAUGCCUUACAAAGAUUAUAAGCACAUAAGAAUAAAGAAAAGAAUGUACUGUACAUAAUCCCAAAGAGUAAGCAAAGGUGGUCUUUCAUUCUAUACUAUGCAUUUAUAUAUUGAUUUCAUUAAAACCCUUGCUUUACACAUGCUACUGCCUUACAUAUAUAUUUAGUACAUUCUUUCGUACAGACGCC